rnacentral:rRNA from 1 species
GAUGAUCGCUGGCGGCGUGCCUAAUACAUGCCAGUCGAGCGAACAGACGAGGAGCUUGCUCCUCUGACGUUAGCGGCGGACGGGUGAGUAACACGUGGAUAACCUACCUAUAAGACUGGGAUAACUUCGGGAAACCGGAGCUAAUACCGGAUAAUAUAUUGAACCGCAUGGUUCAAUAGUGAAAGACGGUUUUGCUGUCACUUAUAGAUGGAUCCGCGCCGCAUUAGCUAGUUGGUAAGGUAACGGCUUACCAAGGCGACGAUGCGUAGCCGACCUGAGAGGGUGAUCGGCCACACUGGAACUGAGACACGGUCCAGACUCCUACGGGAGGCAGCAGUAGGGAAUCUUCCGCAAUGGGCGAAAGCCUGACGGAGCAACGCCGCGUGAGUGAUGAAGGUCUUCGGAUCGUAAAACUCUGUUAUUAGGGAAGAACAAAUGUGUAAGUAACUAUGCACGUCUUGACGGUACCUAAUCAGAAAGCCACGGCUAACUACGUG